GUAGGUGGCAAGCGUUGUCCGGGAAUUAUUGGGGCGUAAAGCGCGCGCAGGCGGUUCUUUAAGUCUGAUGUGAAAGCCCACGGGCUCAACCGUGGAGGGUCAUUGGAAACUGGAGAACUUGAGUACAGAAGAGGAAAGCGGAAUUCCACGUGUAGCGGUGAAAUGCGUAGAGAUGUGGAGGAACGCCAGUGGCGAAGGCGGCUUUCUGGUCUGUAACUGACGCUGAGGCGCGAAAGCGUGGGGAGCAAACAGGAUUAGAUACCCUGGUAGUCCACGCCGUAAACGAUGAGUGCUAAGUGUUAGGGGGUUUCCGCCCCUUAGUGCUGCAGCUAACGCAUUAAGCACUCCGCCUGGGGAGUACGGCCGCAAAGGCUGA
rnacentral:rRNA from 1 species